rnacentral:rRNA from 1 species
UACAGAGGUCCCAAGCGUUGUUCGGAUUCAUUGGGCGUAAAGGGUGCGUAGGCGGCGCGGUAAGUCGGGUGUGAAAUCUCGGAGCUUAACUCCGAAACUGCAUUCGAUACUGCCGUGCUUGAGGACUGGAGAGGAGACUGGAAUUCAUGGUGUAGCAGUGAAAUGCGUAGAGAUCAUGAGGAAGACCAGUGGCGAAGGCGGGUCUCUGGGACGGUACUGACGCUGAGACGCGAAAGCGUGGGGAGCGAACAGG